AUUUUUGCUCAAGUGGCGAAAGACACGGAUGGAUAAAACGCACCGGCUGUGUUGAUAUGUCUUCCCCGGGAGAUUUGCGAAUCCUACUAUGGUCAAGGUCCAGCUCAGUUCCAGAUCUUCAGGAAGCUGUCCCACGAGCCAGUGCAAACACACAUGCCAUCUGAUGGUACUCCGGUGCAGCUCACCCGGUUGUCAUGGCCAGACAACACUCCUUGAGUCCCAGAUAUUGCAGUUGAAGUCAUCAUACCCGGCGAAGAUGAGACGGCCCGACAUGGACAGAGCCAGUGAUGUCACCCCGCUGUUCAGCUGAGCAUCCUGGUAGCCAAUCACUUCCUGAUCCGAGCGGA